rnacentral:rRNA from 1 species
AACGAACGCUGGCGGCAUGCCUAACACAUGCAAGUCGAACGAAGCCUUCGGGCUUAGUGGCGCACGGGUGCGUAACGCGUGGGAAUCUGCCCUUGGGUUCGGAAUAACAGUUAGAAAUGACUGCUAAUACCGAAUGAUGUCUUCGGACCAAAGAUUUAUCGCCCAAGGAUGAGCCCGCGUCGGAUUAGCUAGUUGGUGAGGUAAAAGGCUCACCAAGGCGACGAUCCGUAGCUGGUCUGAGAGGAUGAUCAGCCACACUGGGACUGAGACACGGCCCAGACUCCUACGGGAGGCAGCAUGGGGAAUAUUGGACAA